CGCAAGCAGUCUUUAGGACAAACAAUCAUUCGUUAUUUUUUAUUAAGUUUUUGUGUAUAGUCUGAAACACACAAAGAUAAUGUGGAACAGCGAUAAGUCAUUUAUAUUUUCAUAAUUUUUUUUGUUUCAAGGAUUUGGAUCAUUUGGAUUUUGUUCGUAAAAUGUGGGGUUGCCUAGUAUUUGAUUUAACUACUCUGCAUUAGCUUCCAAAUGUGGUUUAUGCGCUGUUAAUAUAAAGUAUAUGGUCAAAAAGUUGGCUUUUUCCAAGUAUGCAUCUAACUAAAUGAUAUACAUAAAUUCUAUUUACAAUUUGUUCAUCUUUUUAUAUUGUGUAUAUGGAACACGGGCACAGAUUGGUAUUUGGUUGAUUAUGUAAAAAGCAACAGCCAACAAAUUUAUUUCCCAUGAUCCGGUAGAGGAAGGAUUGCAUGUAUUGUUAUAUAUUUGAGCAUUUUCCCAUUAUCUGGCAUAUUAAUUGAGCAUGGUUCUAAUAAUAUAAUCUAUUAACUUUUCCAUUGAUUUCUUUGAGUGUAUUAUUUAUGUGUAAUGUUCAAUGUAAUUAUAGAAUUUUAUAAAGAAAUUCAUUGUUCACUUCUAUGCAAUGCUCUUAUUCUGAGGCUUUUGCACUUAGGUAUGUUUUGGAUCCUCACAACCGUGGUGUGAAAUUUUUAUGAUAGGCAGUUAGUUCAUUUUUCUACUUGUUUGUUGACAGAGUUAAAAUAAUUGACUAGGGAUCUGUAAAGAAGGUGAAAUGGCCAAUCAAGUUGGGUGGGGGAUAAUGACCACCAAUCGAGAUUCUUGUGGGUCCAGUUUUCCGCAUUAUAUAGUUUGUUUUCAUCUACAUUCUGUAAUCCUAAGCUUCAUUAUUAAUUAAAUUUUUUAACUUUGUUCAGGAUAGUAGCAUUGUGUCAGAAAGAGAAGGACAAAAAAAUUGACAUGAGGACAUAAUAAAGAAGACUAGGGCUGAGCAAAACCGAACCGAAACCGAAUAACCGAACCGAACCGUGCAAUUCUGGUUAGGUUCGGUUUUUAUUUUUCUGAAAAUUUCGGUUAGUUCGGUUUUCGGUUAUUGACCGAAUUGUUAUUCGGUUCGGUUCGGUUAUUAGAAUUAUAAAUACGGUUAUAACCGAAAUAACCGAAUUAUAUAUUUAUUAUUUUUUAAAUAAUAUAAUAUAUAUGUAAUAUAGAAUAGAAAAUACAAAAUAGAAACAGAUUAGACUUGCGGCUUGCCCACACCCAGUUUCUCGUAUACCUAAUCUUAUUACACGCCGCCGCCGUGACUCCGCCUCUCCCUCAUCCCUGCAUCCGCCAACUUCAAGAAUCAAAGAUUCUUUCAGAGGUGGUUAUGGUCCACUCCUACUUCCCCAAAGUGUGAUGCCUGUUCCAAACUGGAGUCCUUAAUUGGGACCUGUAAGCCCUACAAUGUCUCCUGGUGUGCAACCUUCAGUCAAAGUUGCUUCUUUGUAUGGCAUGACACCACUAUCUUCUUCCACUCCUGCAUUUGGAGGACCUUGUGCUCCUCUACCUUCAUAUGCUGGUCCUUCAACUAAUAGCCAGAUGGAACAACUGUUUUUGCAGAGACCAGGCCAACCGGAGUGUCAAUAUUACAUGAAGAACGAGGGCUGCAUCCGAGCUCUCUUGCAAGUAUCACCAGCCAGCAGACUGGAUGGCAUCAAAGAAAAAUUGUGUUUUUAGCCACUUAGGGCUACCAUUAUGCCAGGGUGUGCAGACCUGCAGUUUCUACGUGCAGAACGGAUAGUGCAAAUUGGGUCAUACUUGCAAGUUUGAACAUCCAGUAUUCCAGUGGCUGCUUCAAAUACCAUACACCAGUUUAACCUUCAAUGACAUAGCUGAAUGCUCAUGUGUUUUAGGUGUACUUGGGUGCAAAGUGGAUCCUUGUUAAACUUAGGUUACAUUAUGGGAGACACAGCAAGAUGAUACAGCUUUCACAUCUUGAAUGUCCAGCUCUACAGUCAAAUUUUCUGGUCUUAAACAUGUAGUGGCAGCAGAAGAAAAACUCGACAUCAAGCUAAAACCCUAAAGAAUGCUGCUAAAUAUAUCACAGAUUUAAGGUCUUGUUGAAAAUUUUGUCCUUGUUUAUCUAGCUUAAGAUCUGGAAAGCUAAUGUAGUUUGUUGCGUAAACUUUCUUUCCCAGCUCGGUUACAUGGCCCUGGUGUAUAUUGGGGAGAAUCUUUCUGGGACAUCUCUCCAAUACCUAGCUGAUUUAACAUAAUCGGAUUUGCCUAUGAUAUGUGACUUCUAUUUGAUAAAAUAUAAAUGUAUAAGCCAUCGAGACUACUUGCGUAGGUCGAGGUCUUGUGUA